UACGUAGGGUGCGAGCGUUGUCCGGAAUUACUGGGCGUAAAGAGCUCGUAGGUGGUUUGUCGCGUUGUCCGUGAAAACUCACAACUCAAUUGUGGGCGUGCGGGCGAUACGGGCAGACUGGAGUACUGCAGGGGAGACUGGAAUUCCUGGUGUAGCGGUGGAAUGCGCAGAUAUCAGGAGGAACACCGGUGGCGAGGGCGGGUCUCUGGGCAGUAACUGACGCUGAGGAGCGAAAGCGUGGGGAGCGAACAGGA
rnacentral:rRNA from 1 species